rnacentral:rRNA from 1 species
UGAGGAAUAUUGCACAAUGGGCGCAAGCCUGAUGCAGCAACGCCGCGUGCGGGACGAAGGCCUUCGGGUCGUAAACCGCUUUUCUGGGGGAAGAGCAAGGACGGUACCUCAGGAAUAAGUCUCGGCUAACUACGUGCCAGCAGCCGCGGUAAAACGUAGGAGGCGAGCGUUAUCCGGAUUUACUGGGCGUAAAGCGCACGCAGGCGGCUCUGUUAGUCGGACGUGAAAGCUCUCGGCUUAACCGGGAGAGGCCGUUCGAUACUGCGGGGCUUGAGGUAGGGAGAGGAAUGCGGCAUUCCCGGUGUAGUGGUGGAAUGCGUAGAUAUCGGGAGGAACACCUGUGGCGAAAGCGGCAUUCAGGCCCUCACCUGACGCUGAGGUGCGAAAGCGUGGGUAGCAAACA